AGCCGAAUGGUGUAACGGUAACACUAACGACUCUGACUCGUUCAUUCUAGGUUCGAAUCCUAGUUCGGCUGCCA
rnacentral:tRNA from 5 species